rnacentral:rRNA from 1 species
UACAUGGGGUGCAAACGUUGCUCGGAAUUAUUGGGCGUAAAGCGCACGUAGGCGGUUUGUUAAGUCGGAUGUGAAAUCCCUCGGCUCAACUGAGGAAGUGCAUCCGAAACUGGCAGGCUUGAGUACUAAAGAGGGUCGCGGAAUUCCCGGUGUAGAGGUGAAAUUCGUAGAUAUCGGGAGGAACACCGGUGGCGAAGGCGGAUCUCUGGGCCAUUACUGACGCUGAGGAGCGAAAGCGUGGGGAGCGAACAGG